ensembl:miRNA MIR1973 microRNA 1973
UAUGUUCAACGGCCAUGGUAUCCUGACCGUGCAAAGGUAGCAUA